rnacentral:piRNA from 1 species
UACAGCUUUGAUUGGGCAAGAGGCUGAUUU